rnacentral:rRNA from 1 species
UACGAGGGGUGCAAGCGUUGCUCGGAAUUAUUGGGCGUAAAGGGUAUGUAGGUGGUCUCAUUUGUCCGGGGUGAAAGCCUUGAGCUUAACUCAAGAAGUGCCCCGGAAACGGUGAGACUCGAGUACUGGAGAGGGUCGUGGAAUUCCCGGUGUAGCGGUGAAAUGCGUAGAGAUCGGGAGGAACACCAGAGGCGAAGGCGGCGACCUGGACAGUUACUGACACUCAACUACGAAAGCGUGGGGAGCAAACAGG